rnacentral:rRNA from 1 species
AGAACGAACGCUGGCGGCAUGCCUAAUACAUGCAAGUCGAACGAAGGCUUCGGCCUUAGUGGCGCACGGGUGCGUAACGCGUGGGAAUCUGCCCCUUGGUUCGGAAUAACAGUUGGAAACGACUGCUAAUACCGGAUGAUGACGAAAGUCCAAAGAUUUAUCGCCAAGGGAUGAGCCCGCGUAGGAUUAGCUAGUUGGUGAGGUAAAGGCUCACCAAGGCGACGAUCCUUAGCUGGUCUGAGAGGAUGAUCAGCCACACGUGGGACUGAGACACCGGCCCAGACCUCCGUACGGGAGGCAGCAGGUAGGGAAUA